rnacentral:rRNA from 1 species
CCUACGGGUGGCAGCAGUGAGGAAUAUUGGUCAAUGGGAGAGAUCCUGAACCAGCAAAGCCGCGUGAGGGAAGACGGCCCUAUGGGUUGUAAACCUCUUUUGUCGGAGAACAAAACCCGGGACGUGUCCCGGACUGCGUGUAUCCGAAGAAAAAGCACCGGCUAACUCCGUGCCAGCCGACGCGGUAAUCCGGAGGAUGCGAGCGUUAUCCGGUUUUAUUGGGUUAAAGGGGUGCGUAGGCGGUCCGUUAAGUCAGCGGUAAAAUUGCGGGGCUCAACCCCGUCGAGCCGUUGAAACUGGCAGACUUGAGUGGGCGAGAAGUACGCGGAAUGCGCGGUGUAGCGGUGAAAUGCAUAGAUAUCGCGCAGAACUCCGAUUGCGAAGGCAGCGUACCGGCGCCAGACUGACGCUGAGGCACGAAAGCGUGGGGAGCGAACAGGAUUAGAUACCCGGGUAGUC